GUGGGGAAUCUUGCACAAUGGGGGCAACCCUGAUGCAGCGACGCCGCGUGAGCGAUGAAGCCCUUCGGGGCGUAAAGCUCUUUCGACCGGAACGAUAAUGACGGUACCGGGAGAAGAAGCUGAGGCUAACUACGUGCCAGCAGCCGCGGUAAUACGUAGGCAGCAAGCGUUGUUCGGAGUUACUGGGCGUAAAGAGUGCGUAGGCGGUUUUCUAAGUUCGGUGUGAAAUCUCCCGGCUUAACUGGGAGGGUGCGCCGAAGACUGGGAAGCUGGAGUGUGGGAAAGGCAGGCGGAAUUCCUGGUGUAGCGGUGAAAUGCGUAGAUAUCAGGAGGAACACCGGCGGUGUAGACGGCUUGCUAGACCAUAACUGACGCUGAGGCACGAAAGCGUGGGUAGCAAAC
rnacentral:rRNA from 1 species